rnacentral:rRNA from 1 species
GGUGAAAUUCUUGGACCGUCGCAAGACGGACAGAAGCGAAAGCAUUUGCCAAAAACGUUUUCAUUGAUCAAGAACGAAAGUUAGAGGUUCGAAGGCGAUCAGAUACCGCCCUAGUUCUAACCAUAAACGAUGCCAGCUAGCGAUCCGCCGGCGUUCCUCCGAUGACCCGGCGGGCAGCUUCCGGGAAACCAAAGCUUUUGGGUUCCGGGGGAAGUAUGGUUGCAAAGCUGAAACUUAAAGGAAUUGACGGAAGGGCACCACCAGGAGUGGAGCCUGCGGCUUAAUUUGACUCAACACGGGAAACCUCACCAGGCCCGGACACCGGAAGGAUUGACAGAUUGAGAGCUCUUUCUUGAUUCGGUGGGUGGUGGUGCAUGGCCGUUCUUAGUUGGUGGAGCGAUUUGUCUGGUUAAUUCCGAUAACGAACGAGACUC